CAAACCCUUAAGCCCUGUUGCUUAGCGUUGGGAGCCUGCCGUAAAAGGCAGCUCCUCAAAGUUAUCGGCGGAGUUUCAGCAAUCUCUAAGCGUAGUAAUUCGUUCUCGCUUCUGCAGCUGCUGUAGCCCCUGCCGCAAAACCCCAACUUUUCAG
rnacentral:misc_RNA from 1 species